CCAUCUGCUUGUCAGGGUAUGACUCUUAGUUGUUCAUUCUGAAACGAAUUGAGUAAGUUUAUACUUACUGGCUUAUUUUUACAGGGUGCCCAGGGUGAUAUUGGACUUCCUGGACUGCCAGGUCCUCCAGGUCUACCUGGUGGUAAGGGUGACCGGGGUUCGGUGGGUGAACCAGGACCAAAGGGUGAACAGGGUGCACCUGGGGCAGAAGGAGAUGGAGGACAAAAGGGUGACUUAGGUGAUAUGGGAUUACCAGGAGCAAAGGGAGCUGUAAGUAUAAUGAAUAGCACUGUUACAGAAAUACAGAGAUCUAGUAGAUCAGAUAGAUGGGUUUCUGAUUUAAGAAAGAAAAUAGAAAUAAUGAUCUGAGCUCUUCAUCACAGUUAAUUUGAAUGAGUUCCAACAGCAUUUCUUCAGUUUAAAUUUUGAAUAUAGUUGAUAUUAAAAUGAAUUAGUUUUGGAAAGGAGUUCACAUCCUGAAUUCUAAGCUCCAUAAAAAAGAAACAUUAUUCAACAGCAGUUUUCUGGCUUUUUGGUUUUUUGUAAAGGAAAUGAAUGUACUCUUUGUACACUAAGUGUUGUGUAGAAAGGAGGCUCAGUGCAGUGGUCACAUGCAGCCUGUAAUCUUUACACUGUGAAAAAGCUGGCAGCAAGACUGUGAUUUCUGUGAAAGCAGAAGUAGAUCUGGCCAAGAUGCCUUUUUUUUUUUUUUUCUUUUUUUGCCCAGAAAUAACAAAAU
rnacentral:lncRNA from 1 species